GUGGGGAAUAUUGGACAAUGGGCGAAAGCCUGAUCCAGCCAUGCCGCGUGUGUGAAGAAGGUCUUCGGAUUGUAAAGCACUUUAAGUUGGGAGGAAGGGCAGUAAGUUAAUACCUUGCUGUUUUGACGUUACCGACAGAAUAAGCACCGGCUAACUCUGUGCCAGCAGCCGCGGUAAUACGUAGGGGGCAAGCGUUGUCCGGAAUGAUUGGGCGUAAAGGGCGCGUGGGCGGCCUGGUAAGUCUGGAGUGAAAGUCCUGCUUUUAAGGUGGGAAUUGCUUUGGAUACUGUCGGGCUUGAGUGCAGGAGAGGUAAGCGGAAUUCCCGGUGUAGCGGUGAAAUGCGUAGAGAUCGGGAGGAACACCAGUGGCGAAGGCGGCUUACUGGACUGUAACUGACGCUGAGGCGCGAAAGUGUGGGGAGCAAACAGGAUUAGAAACCCCUGUAGUCC
rnacentral:rRNA from 1 species